rnacentral:miRNA from 10 species
CGACUUUUGUGAUUAGCAAUU